AUGAAUUGUAAAUUAAAUGCAUUAAUAAGCAAUUUCAGUUGAAGCCAUGUAAUUGUUGAACUCACAAUCCAUUAGAGUAAUGGGCGACUUUUCAAUAGAGAAGAUCCUAAUAUCGGGAGUCACUUUAGCCUCCCUACUCCACCGCUCAUCCGCCUCCUCCGGCGACCUUCACGGCUUUCUCUUUGGCCAUGUUGUCUUCUCCGACUCCACUCCCCUCUCCGACGACGACGCCACCGCCACCACCGGCCCAUCUCUCACCGCUACCAUCACCUCUUUCAUCUCCCUCCCCUCCCACCUCCCCCUCCCGCUACCGAUCACUCUAUCCUCCUCUUCUAACCUCCUCGGCUGGUUCUCCUCCCGCCGUAAAACCCCUCUCCGUCCCUCACUCAGAGACUCCUUAACCACCCUUUCUCUUUCCUCUUCCUCUUCCUCUUCUCUCACCUUCACUCCACACAACUCCACUGCCUUACACCCACCAUCUCUGUUUCUUCUCUUAACCACACCGCUUCAAGAUAAGUUAAUCCACACCCAUGAGUAUAAAACCUAUGAGUACUGCAUUCCCAGCAAAACCUUUGAGCCCAAGAGCUUGAAUAUUAUUAACAUUGGUCCAUCUUUUCGAUCCCAUUACGAUUCUUUCAGCCCCAAUGUUCCGUUCCCAUUGAUCAACUGCGACUUGAGAGGCUCUAAUGCGAUGGUGGAGGAUGAAGAGUGUGAGACUUUGGAGGCCAUAAGGAGGGCUUUGAAAAAUCAGAAGAAGUUGGAUAUGUGUGCAGAGGGGUUUGAAAUUGGGAGGAUGAGUAAACUAGUGGGCUCUGAGGCCGCAAAUUACAUGGGUGAGUUGGAGGAUUUGUAUGAUAAAAUGCUUUGCAAGAUUGAUGCACUGUCAAAAUUGGUGGAGCAGACCUCUGCUAAGGUUGUUGGUCAGGAGAAUCAUAAUAUGAAAUUGAGGUACAAGGUUGCUGGCAUAGACUAAUUUUGCUGAUGAUUCCAUGGUUUUUUUCCCGAUUUUUGAGUUAUAGAGAAAUUGAAUUGGAAGCUUGGCUGCUCCUCUCUUCAUUAUUACGACAUGAAAGGCAAUGACCAGUAGACAUGUGCAUUCGAGGGGGACUUUACUCUGUUGAACUUAAGUUUUCAUUGGUUCGUUUAUGUAGAGAAAAAGGAUGUAACUUGUGUCAUUUAUGGCCACAAUUUUCAUUUUACGUAUAGUUUCUGUUACUGUGUAGAUCCUGGAAGCGUGAAAGGUGCGUGAACUCGAUGACUUGAUAAGAUAAAGAGAGAGAGUGAUACUGUUUUUGCUGCUUGUUGGGAUUUUAGAUGAUUUUGCGGCGGACGACUCUCCUUGGACCUCAACAACGUAAACUGCCUGUUAUUGUAAUUUAUUUGUACUGGCCUUGUUCUCUUAUGUACAUAUUACCCCUUCCUUUUGUUGUAUACUAUGAAGAAUCUUGACUUUUGGGACCAAAGAGAAAGGAACUGAAAAAUGUGUUAUGGUCUUAUUUUCUUCUCUGUA